GGAAAGAAAGCGCAACAAAAACAUGGGCUGUCCAGCUGGUUCCUGAAGUCUGAUUAUUUAAUACAGUAGUUAUAACAGGAA